GUUGAGAGGAAUGUUGUUUGGCUCGAGGUCAUGGAGAAAGAUCCUUCGAUUAAAUUUAGUUUUUAAGAAUGAAACAACCCUAAAUGAUUCUCGGACCAGGCUUCAUUCCCCCCAAC
rfam:Arabis alpina cultivar Pajares chromosome 8, whole genome shotgun sequence.